UAUUGUAUCGUAUAACGGUUAUUACAGCAGCCUUUUAAGCUCGCAAAAUUGGGUUCGAAUCCCAAUACACUCA
rnacentral:tRNA from 1 species